GGGGAAUAUUGCACAAUGGGGGAAACCCUGAUGCAGCAACGCCGCGUGAGUGAAGAAGGUUUUCGGAUCGUAAAGCUCUGUUAUUGGGGAAGAAGAAUGACGGUACCCAAUGAGGAAGUCCCGGCUAACUACGUGCCAGCAGCCGCGGUAAUACGUAGGUGGCAAGCGUUGUCCGGAUUUACUGGGCGUAAAGGGAGCGUAGGCGGAUACUUAAGUGGGAUGUGAAAUACCUGGGCUUAACUUGGGUGCUGCAUUCCAAACUGGGUGUCUAGAGUGUUGGAGAGGAAAGUGGAAUUCCUAGUGUAGCGGUGAAAUGCGUAGAGAUUAGGAAGAACACCAGUGGCGAAGGCGAUUUUCUGGACAAUAACUGACGCUGAGGCUCGAAAGCGUGGGGAGCAAAC
rnacentral:rRNA from 1 species